rnacentral:tRNA from 5 species
GCGCUGUUAGCUCAACUGGAUAGAGCAUCUGACUUCGGAUCAGAAGGCUAGAGGUUCAAAUCCUCUACGGCGCA